rnacentral:misc_RNA from 1 species
UACGAGUGCCUCAAGCGUUAUCCGGAAUCAUUGGGCGUAAAGGGUGUGUAGGUGGUUUUGUUAGUCUCGCGUUAAAUUCUUCGGCUCAACCGGGGGCAUGCGCGGGAAACGGCAGGACUUGAGGAUGCAAGAGGUCUGUGGAACUCAUAGUGUAGCGGUGAAAUGCGUUGAUAUUAUGGGGAACACCAAAUGCGAAGGCAACAGACUGGGGCACUCCUGACACUGAAACACGAAAGCGUGGGUAGCGAAUGGG